AAAGAGGAAUAUGUGGAUGAGUUUUGCACCUUAAACUGCCUCAUACCUCAAGCCACAGCAUUUGCGGCUCCCCCAUGCCCCCCUCCCAUCCCCUUCUUAGGAGAGCCUUUAAUAUGUAAAUGCCAGUGAUCAGGUCGGGAGCUGCUACAGUCAAUUUCAAGUGGGGUGGGGUGGGGUGAGGUCAGGUGGGUGGGAGGGAGUGGGGGGUCGGCAGGCCUGUUUCUAGGAUUUUGGGGUCCCUAGGCAACGGGAUUGUUGGGGGCCCUAGGGCAUUUUUUGGCCUUUUACUAAAAUGUGUGUGUGUGUGUCUGUGUGUAUGUUUGUUCACGCUGCCCAGUGGUGUUUUUCAGAAUCACUAACCAUUAAACCAGGGGUAGUGAACCUAUGUCUCGAGGGCCCUUGAGGCCGUUUUAUCCGGCCCCUGAUAUCAUUAUAAUGUUUUGCAACUUCACAUGAAAUAGGCCUAUGACAUAUUUUGCAGGCCUAAAGGAAUCUUAGAAUUUACAUUUCCAAUGCAAUUAAGUUAGGCCUAUAUUCAGGGGACCUAGAAAAGGUGGGGACUGUUUUAAAUGUGUCUACCUUUAAAGGUGUCUAUAUGUCUAUAUAGGCCUAAUGGUGUCUAUAUAUGCCUAAAUUUCAUGGGGAAAUCCUGAUUUGUGUUCAUAGUACGGCCCCCGGAGGAUUUUAUGACCAUGGUAGGAAUUUGAAGUGGCCCUUCGAAUGAAAAAGGUUCCCCACCCCUGCAUUAAACCUUUCUUCUAGCCACAGCUCUGCUGUCAGUACAUUUUAUUAUGAUACUAUAAGCUCAGAAAUGAAGUUGAUCAAACAAUUCGGUGCUAACAUUUAAAUGAACCGAAUAGAAAUCAGAAUAGAAACAUCUGAAUGAUCUUUCUUGGACAUAGCCUACAUUUUGAAGUGACCCUUUGAAUUAAAAAGGUUCCUCACCCCUGCUUUUGAGGAAAAACAUCAAUGUGCUUGGCCACUCUGGUUUUUAAAUUAUUCUGAACUAGCAAGGAUUGUUCAAGGAAGUUCAAAACAGACUGUCUCUGGUUAAAUUAGUUCUACACCAAGCCUUUAGGUGGCAGUACAACUAAUUCGCACAAUGCGAAUUCCACACACAAGCCACAAAGAAGCCAUCUACCGCGGUCAACAACACCGACCUAUCUGAACAACACCACGCGCUGUCUGUGUGGUUUCACUGUUACAAGUUUCUUGGCGAUAUGGGGGAAAGUUCCUCACAUACCAACGGAAAAUGGGCUUCACAUACAUGCUGCUGUCUCAUAAUAUGGCGAAGACGAGUCACUUGAAGGCCUAACAGCUCUUAUGAGGAGCAGUCUUGCCAUAGAAGACUGAAAGAAUGUAAGAUUAACUUCUUUGUGACCAAUAUGACUUGCUCAUUGAUACAUUAGCUAUGUCAAUAUGAGAUGCAUGGCGAAGUAUUUAAUUUAUUUGUCUCUCUUCUAGGAGCUGUAGAAACAACAGGGUGCCUGCUGCAGUAUGACGAGGACGCCCUGAUCAUAGAAGGUCCAGUGUCUUGGCAGGGUGAAAUGGCACUGAUAUCGGUAUGUGGUGAUAUCAGUUAAAAUUAAUGAAUUAAUUCUCAUAUCUGAAUAAUGUGAACACUGGAUUUACCACACACUCACACACACCCUAGUCCUAGAUGAUACAACCAAGGUUACUUUUACCACAGCUCUGGCACUGCAUCAAAUUUCUUUUCUUUUUUAUAGAACUGGACAGGUCAUUUAUUCGUUCCCCUUGUUUUUUGCAGUGUCCUGCAGGAUGCUGUGUCCUGCAAUCCUGUGUGCUGUGCUACAGACGCGUGUGGAGGUCAACCCGAAAUGGGCACAGUAGAGUGAAAGAGGAUCCUGGCAGGGAGACGGUAGUGUCCUGCAGGAUGGUGAUGGGCAAUCUUACAAGAGACCACAGAAAACUGAUAUAGUGUAAGAUUAUCCCUGUUGGGCUCAAUAUGUCUUGCUUAUUGAUAUAUUUGCUAUGUCAAUAUGAGGUGCAUGACGAAGUAUUUAUUUAUUUGUUAUUUCUACAGCUCCCAGAAGUGAGACUGAGUGCCUGUUGCAGUAUGACGAGGAAGCAGUGACCAGAGACCUUCAGUAGACCCUGCUGGCAUGAUUGGCGGCUGAAGAACAUAAUCAACAGCAAUGUUUACUUUAUAAUAUUGUACAUACCUGUAUAGUCUGCACUAAAAUGCUGUACCUGUACUAUUUUUCCUCUUACUUUCAUAUUUACCACGUAUUUACUAUGAAUUGACAACUUUUACUCAAAUCCAUUUUUGUAUGUGCCCUGACUAAAACUAUCCUUAAACCUAACCUGUCAGAGGUGUAAUAACAACCUGCUCUUAGCAAUGUGGCAGCAGUCUACUUGGAUGCAGCGGGGAACAUAGAACCCUUUUUUUGAAAAAGCAUUGUAUGUUUCUGAGUUUUAUGAAUUGUGCCCUUCCCAAACCUAACCUGUCGUAGGGGCCUAUGAAAUCCGUUUUAUUUUUCCUCAUUCAGUUUUUUUCUGAUUUAUUUUUUGCCAAAUUGGUUUUUUUUUUUUUACAUCUUAUUUUCCCCUUUCAUCCCCCCCCCAAAAAAAAUAAAAAAUAAAAAAUAAAUUCUUAGUUAUUUAGUUCAAACUGGUGUGUGGACAGAGCCAACCACUCAUGGUUGAAUGGUAGGUAGAGAAAAGAAAAGUAAAAUUACCUACUAGCUUUUUGUAAUAUCAGCCCUCAAAAAUAUUCCAGGUAAUAAGGUAGCUGUAUUGUAAUUGUACAUGCGCAUAUAUUCUAUUAAAUACACGUGACGCACACACCCAACUAGAAGGCGAAUUCACUUCUGGUGCAUUGAAGUUGUUGGACUCUGGCUGCAUCAGGUUUUCUCGAAUACUUGGCUAUAUUGCAACGUGCAGCUUAGAGACAUUUUGGGUCACG